CCUACGGGAGGCAGCAGUAGGGAAUCUUCCACAAUGGACGAAAGUCUGAUGGAGCAACGCCGCGUGAGUGAUGAAGGUUUUCGGAUCGUAAAACUCUGUUGUAAGGGAAGAACAAGUACGUUAGGAAAUGAACGUACCUUGACGGUACCUUAUUAGAAAGCCACGGCUAACUACGUGCCAGCAGCCGCGGUAAUACGUAGGUGGCAAGCGUUGUCCGGAUUUAUUGGGCGUAAAGCGCGCGCAGGUGGUUUCUUAAGUCUGAUGUGAAAGCCCACGGCUCAACCGUGGAGGGUCAUUGGAAACUGGGAGACUUGAGUGCAGAAGAGGAUAGUGGAAUUCCAAGUGUAGCGGUGAAAUGCGUAGAGAUUUGGAGGAACACCAGUGGCGAAGGCGACUGUCUGGUCUGUAACUGACACUGAGGCGCGAAAGCGUGGGGAGCAAACAGGAUUAGAUACCCUGGUAGUCCACGCCGUAAACGAUGAGUGCUAAGUGUUAGGGGGUUUCCGCCCCUUAGUGCUGCAGCUAACGCAUUAAGCACUCCGCCUGGGGAGUACGACCGCAAGGUUGAAACUCAAAGGAAUUGACGGGGGCCCGCACAAGCGGUGGAGCAUGGUGGUUUAAUUCGAAGCAACGCGAAGAACCUUAC
rnacentral:rRNA from 1 species